CCUUUGCGAAAGUGUGGCUAAUACCGGAUGACACCAUCGGGUCGCAUGGCCCGGGGCUCAAGGGUGGGGACCUUCGGGCCUGUCGGUCUGGGAGCGGCCUAUGUCCUAUCAGCUUGUUGGUGAGGUAACGGCUCACCAAGGCAUCGACGGGUAGCGGGCGUGAGAGCGUGGCCCGCCUCAUCGGAACUGAGACACUGUCCGGACACCUACGGGUGGCUGCAGUAACGAAUAUUGGGCAAUGGGCGAAAGCCUGACCCAGCAAUGCCGCGUGCAGGAGGAAGCCUUUCGGGGUGUAAACUGCUGUUGGGGUUCAGCAAGCAAAGAGGGUUAAUAGCCCUCGGCGUUGAGCAGACCCUGAGGAAGUCUCGGCUAACUCUGUGCCAGCAGCCGCGGUAAGACAGAGGAGGCAAGCGUUGUUCGGAAUUAUUGGGCUUAAAGAGGGUGUAGGCGGCCCGGCAAGUGUCCCGUGAAAUCCCACGGCUCAACCGUGGAACUGCGGAGCAAACUGCCGGGCUUGAGGUCGGUAGAGGUGCCUGGAAUUUCCGGCGUAGCGGUGAAAUGCGUAGAUAUCGGAAGGAACACUUGUGGCGAAGGCGGCCAGCUGGACCAGUUCUGACGCUGAGACGCGAAAGCGUGGGGAGCAAACAGGAUUAGAUACCCUGGUAGUCCACGCUGUAAACGAUGGGCACUAGGUGUCGGCGGUCUAUAAUCCGUCGGUCCGGCGCUAACGCAGUAAGUGCCCCGCCUGGGGAGUACGGUCGCAAGGCUGAAACUCAAACGAAUUGACGGGGGCCCGCACAAGCGGUGGAGCAUGUGGUUUAAUUCGACGCAACGCGAAGAACCUUACCUAGGUUUGACAUGGACGUGAUCGCCGGUGAAAGCCGGUUUCCCUCUGCCCUUCGGGGUGAAACUUGCACAGGGGUUGCAUGGCUGUCGUCAGCUCGUGCUGUGAAGUGUCGGGUUAAGUCCCUUAACGAGCGAAACCCCUGUCGUUAGUUGCCAGCGCGUUAUGGCGGGGACUCUAACGAGACUGCCGGCGUUAAGCCGGAGGAAGGUGGGGACGACGUCAAGUCAUCGUGGCCCUUAAGCCCGGGGAUGCACACGUGCUACAAUGGCGAGUACAGAGGGAAGCAAGACCGCGAGGUGGAGCAAACGCAAAAAAACGUCCCUCAGUUCGGAUUGCAGUCUGAAACUCGACUGCAUGAAGUUGGAAUCGCUAGUAAUCGCGUAUCAGCUACGACGCGGUGAAUAUGUUCCUGAGCCUUGUACACACCGCCCGUCAAGUCAUGGAAGUUGGUAGCGCCCGAAGUCCGCUUAGCUAACCCUCGGGAGGCGGCGGCCGACGGUGAGACUGGUAACUGGGACUAAGUCGU
rnacentral:rRNA from 1 species